CAUUGUAAUUUGUAGAGGAUGCUUUGGGUGAAACGCCAGUCUAAGUUCCUUGGAACAGGACGUCAUAGAGGGUGAGAAUCCCGUAUGUGACUGGAAAUGUUAACCUAUGUAAAGCUCCUUCGACGAGUCGAGUUGUUUGGGAAUGCAGCUCUAAAUGGGAGGUAAAUUUCUUCUAAAGCUAAAUAUUGGCGAGAGACCGAUAGCGCACAAGUAGAGUGAUCGAAAGAUGAAAAGCACUUUGGAAAGAGAGUUAAAAAGCACGUGAAAUUGUUGAAAGGGAAGCGCUUGCAAUCAGACUUGUUUAAACUGUUCGGCCGGUCUUCUGACCGGGUUACUCAGUUUGGGCAGGCCAGCAUCAGUUUCGGCGGCCGGAUAAAGGCUCUGGGAAUGUGGCCUUCACUUCGGUGAAGGUGUUAUAGCCCAGGGUGUAAUACGGCCAGCCGGGACUGAGGUCCGCGCUUCGGCUAGGAUGCUGGCGUAAUGGUUGUAAGCGA
rnacentral:rRNA from 1 species